AUUGAACGCUGGCGGCAUGCUAUACACAUGCAAGUCGAACGGUAACAGGCCGCAAGGUGCUGACGAGUGGCGAACGGGUGAGUAAUGCAUCGGAACGUGCCCAGUCGUGGGGGAUAACUACUCGAAAGAGUAGCUAAUACCGCAUACGAUCUAUGGAUGAAAGCGGGGGACCGUAAGGCCUCGCGCGAUUGGAGCGGCCGAUGUCAGAUUAGGUAGUUGGUGGGGUAAAGGCUCACCAAGCCAACGAUCUGUAGCUGGUCUGAGAGGACGACCAGCCACACUGGGACUGAGACACGGCCCAGACUCCUACGGGAGGCAGCAGUGGGGAAUUUUGGACAAUGGGCGCAAGCCUGAUCCAGCAAUGCCGCGUGCAGGAAGAAGGCCUUCGGGUUGUAAACUGCUUUUGUACGGAACGAAACGGCUCUGGUUAAUACCCGGGGCUAAUGACGGUACCGUAAGAAUAAGCACCGGCUAACUACGUG
rnacentral:rRNA from 1 species